UACGAAAGGUGCAAGCGUUACUCGGAAUCACUGGGCGUAAAGCGCACGUAGGCGGACUUACAGGUCAAUUGUGAAAUACCUGGGCUCAACCCAGGAACUGCAGUUGAAACCGUUUGUCUUGAAUACUUGAGAGGGUGGGGAAUACCUGGUGGAGAAGUGAAAUUCGUAGAGAUCAGGUGGAACACCGGAGGCGAAGGCGCCUGCCUGGCAAUGUAUUGACGCUGAGGUGCGAAAGUGCGGGGAGCAAACAGG
rnacentral:rRNA from 1 species